UUCAAAGACUUUUGAUUCUGGUUCAGGAUGAACGCUGGCGCCGUGCUGAUACAUGCAAGUCGAACGACUUCCGUUAAUUGAUAAGCGGUACUCGUACCAAUUGAGAUUUUAACGCGAAGUGAGUGGCGAACGGGUGAGUAACACGUGGGUAACCUGCCCAGAAGUAGGGGAUAACACCUGGAAACAGAUGCUAAUACCGUAUAAUAGAGAAAACCGCAUGGUUUUCUUUUGAAAGAUGGCUGUGCUAUCAUUUCUGGAUGGACCCGUGGCGCAUUAGCUAGUUGGUAAGGUAAAGGCUUACCAAGGCAGUGAUGUGUAGCCGACCUGAGAGGGUAAUCGGCCACAUUGGGACUGAGACACGGCCCAGACUCGUACGGGAGGCAGCAGUAGGGAAUCUUCCACAAUGGACGCAAGUUUGAUGGAGCAACGCCGCGUGAGUGAAGAAGGGUUUCGGCUCGUAAAGCUCUGUUGUUAAAGAAGAACGUGGGUGAGAGUAACUGUUCACCCAGUGACGGUAUUUAACCAGAAAGCCACGGCUAACUACGUGCCAGCAGCCGCGGUAAUACGUAGGUGGCAAGCGUUAUCCGGAUUUAUUGGGCGUAAAGCGAGCGCAGGCGGUCUUUUAAGUCUAAUGUGAAAGCCUUCGGCUCAACCGAAGAAGUGCAUUGGAAACUGGGAGACUUGAGUGCAGAAGAGGACAGUGGAACUCCAUGUGUAGCGGUGAAAUGCGUAGAUAUAUGGAAGAACACCAGUGGCGAAGGCGGCUGUCUGGUCUGCAACUGACGCUGAGGCUCGAAAGCAUGGGUAGCGAACAGGAUUAGAUACCCUGGUAGUCCAUGCCGUAAACGAUGAAUGCUAAGUGUUGGAGGGUUUCCGCCCUUCAGUGCUG
rnacentral:rRNA from 1 species